AUUGAACGCUGGCGGCAGGCCUAACACAUGCAAGUCGAGCGGAGCGGCGGACGGGCGAGUAAUGCCUAGGAAUCUGCCUGGUCGUCGGGGAUAAGGUGCUGAAACGGGCGCUAGUACCGCAUUCUCUCAGAUGAGCCUAGGUCGGAUUAGCUAGUUGGUGGGGUAAAGGCCUACCAAGGCGACGAUCCGUACCUGGUCUGAGAGGAUGAUCAGUCACACUGGAACUGAGACAAGGUCCAGACUCCUACGGGAGGCAGCAGUGGGGAAUAUUGGAAAAUGGGCGAAAGCCUGAUCCAGCCAUGCCGCGUGUGUGAAGAAGGUCUUCGGAUUGUAAAGCACUUUAAGUUGGGAGGCGUUACCAACAGAAUAAGCACCGGCUAACUUCGUGCCAGCAGCCGCGGUAAUAC
rnacentral:rRNA from 1 species